rnacentral:rRNA from 1 species
AUUGAACGCUGGCGGCAGGCCUAACACAUGCAAGUCGAACGAGUGGCGGACGGGUGAGUAAUGUCUGGGAAACUGCCUGAUGGAGGGGGAUAACAACUGGAAACGGUAGCUAAUACCGCAUACCAUCAGAUGUGCCCAGAUGGGAUUAGCUAGUUGGGGGGGUAACGGCUCAUCAAGGCGACGAUCCCUACCCGGUCUGAGAGGAUGACCCACCACACUGGAACUGGGACACGGUCCAGACUCCUACGGGAGGCAGCAGUGGGGAAUAUUGCACAAUGGGGGCAAGCCUGAUGCAGCCAGGCCGCGUGUAUGAAGAAGGCCUUCGGGUUGUAAAGUACUUUCAGCGGGGAGGCGUUACCCGCAGAAGAAGCACCGGCUAACUACGUGCCAGCAGCCGCGGUAAUUC